UUACCAGAGUUCUACUACAAGGCC
rnacentral:siRNA from 1 species